GGAGGGUAAGCUCAGUGGUAGAGCGCAUGCUUAGCAUGCAUAAAGUCCUAAAUUCAAUCCCCAGUACCUCCA
rnacentral:tRNA from 1 species